CUUGAAUAUGCCCAAUCUCGUCUGAUCUCGGAAGCUAAGCAGG
rnacentral:rRNA from 1 species